UCCCGCGGCACAUGGAGGUUCCCAGGCUAGGGGUCGAAUCGGAGCUGUAGCCUCCCGCCUACACCAGAGCCACAGCAACGCAGGAUCCGCGCCGCGUCUGCAACCUACACCAUAGCUCACGGCAACGCCGGGUCCCUAACCCACUGAGCAAGGGCAGGGACCGAACCCGCAACCUCAUGGUUCCUAGUCGGAUUCGUUAACCACUGCGCCACGACGGAACUCCCCAAUGUUGUGUCCUGCUCCCUCCUCCUUCCUUUCCACACUGUCAUUCUGAAACACAGACACCAGCCUUAAAAUCAGAACCCAGAUCUUGACUUUUCACCUGUUCCACUCAUCAUUGAUUCAGUCAAGAAUCAUCAAUGGUGGAAAAGUUGGAUGAGGGCAGAGUAUUCACAGGCUUAAAGUAUCUCCUCUGAAGUUACUCAUUAAUUACGAAGGGGGCAAAACAGUAACUUUACAGUGGAGAAACCUAGCAGACACCUCCCUACGCAAGUGAUGGAAGUUAACGUCACCAGUAGGGAACAAUCGGAGUCAUGCUGGCUCCUGAUAGGAUGCACUGAGGCCCACAGCAUCACCUCUGUGAGAUUCCUGCCAACAAAUGCCUGGUUUCAAUCUGGUCGGAGUGAACAUCAGACUAACCCAAGCUGAGGGCUGUUCUACAAAAGGCCUGGCCCAGAUUCUUGAAAAAUAUUGAUGGCAUGAAAGAGAAAGGAAGCUGAGGAACUGUUCUACAUCAAAAACUGAAGUGAUAUAACUAAAGGAUUUAAAAAGAAUGUGUGAUCUGGAUUGGAUCCUAGACUAGAAAAACGUAUAUAUCGUUAUAAAGAACAUUACCGGAACAAUUAGGUAGUUUUAAUAUGGCUGGACUUUGAAUAAUGCAUUAUAUCAAUAUUAAGUUCCCUGAUUUUGAUUUUAUGUAAAAGAAUUUCCUUGCGACAUUCAUACUGAAGUGUUUAAGGGUUUGCAACUUUCUCUAAAAUAGUCCAAAGAAAGUAUAAACAUGUACAAAUACAUGCAAGCAGAAAGAAAGCAUCAAAACAAAUGCAGCAAAAUGUUUGCGCCUGCUGAAUUUGAGUGAAGCGUACACAGGAGUCCUUUGUACUAGUCCUGCAGCCUUUUGGUAAGCUGAAAUUAUUUCAAAAGAAAAAGGAAAAAAAGAAGAAAAAGCCUGAGCCAGGGUUAGUUAGAGCCAGUUGGAGCCAGGCACAGAGCCUCUCGGCAUUUGGCCUGUAGCGUGAAGCACAGAGAGUCCUGACUUGAAGAUGAGGUUCAAACCCUGCCCUGCCAACUGCCAGAUACUUACCAUCCCUGGAUGUCUGUCUCUUCACUCCAAAAUGUAGAUAAUGCUAAUAACAUCUCUCCGUUAGGGUUGCCAAGAGGACGAAAUGAGGCAGUCAGUGUGAAAACACAGCACAGGCCAAAAUAUUCGCGUAUUCUACAAGGAUGAGCUGCUACGCGUCCAGAGGUGGAAAACGCAAACAGAAUUCUUGCCCUCAGGUAGGCUGAUACUCAGAUCAGAAAGGUGGAAGAUAACUGACUAAAUGAAGGGCAGAACAUAAUUCCAAGCUGUUAUAGAUUCUAGGAGGGUGACAGAGUGUGGCCGGAGAGCCGGCGAGGGAUGGGCAAGCCUACCACUCACAGGGUGGUCAGGGAAAGCCAGACUGAGGAAAUGCCAUCCAAGCUGAGCUUGAAACACAAGAAGGCAGGAGGAAUUGGCGGUGUAGGUGGUGGGAACAGCAGGAGCAAAGGUCCUGAGGUGGCUGAGAACUUGGCAUAUACAAGAAAUGUGACCUUCUCUCCUCAGCUAGAGCAUUUACAGCUCCUAGUGCGUUCCUUGAGGGAAGAGCCGCACAGCACCCCGCACAGACUGGGCACUGGUCCGAUGAAUGAAUAAGCAAACAGGUGUCCUUUGGUUUCAGUAUUUGCCUCUACAUCUCCCCUCUCCCCGCCCUUAGCUGCACUGUGGAGUGAAAAGGAAGGAGGCUGCUCAACUGGAGGCUCUGGAGUUUUCCUCUCUGUGGGCAAAUUGCUUAGAUCACAGAGCCACAAGGACCCCAAAGUCCCACACUCCCACCUGUCACAGUCAAAGGAAGAGCCUCGGGACAGACUUGCCAGAACCCAUGGACCUGGUUGGAUGGGGGCCCACGUCUAGUGCUUUCCUAGCCCUGAAGCCUGCCUUGUUUAUUUGUUCAACAGGUUUGUUCAGCCAUGGCACAGCCUGUUCUGACUCUGGAACAUUUACAAGAUGAGCCAAAAAAUCACAAAAAAAUGGUUUGCUCUCGGAGCUAAAGGGCGGGGCAGCCAGGGUGGGAGACUAACUUUUUGGCUUGUCCUUUGCGAUCUUUUUCCCUCCUGCCCUCAGGAACCAAAGGGACUUUAAUGGGGUUUCCUGCCUCAGUCUUUCCAGAACCAGCAUGUGACCAGACUAGAACAUUCACCUGUAAGACUCCUGGUUCUCAGCUGCACCCUCAUCAGCUCUGUUCCAAACCCCAGCUUCCACCCUCUGAGUUCAAGCCACAGCCUGAUCCACCUGACCAGCCCGGGUAUGGAGGCA
rnacentral:lncRNA from 1 species